rnacentral:rRNA from 1 species
CCUACGGGAGGCAGCAGUGAGGAAUAUUGGUCAAUGGGCGCAAGCCUGAACCAGCCAUGCCGCGUGCAGGAAGAAUGCCCUAGUGGUUGUAAACUGCUUUUAUUUAGGAAUAAACUCUUGUACGUGUACAAGCCUGAAGGUACUAAAUGAAUAAGCACCGGCUAACUCCGUGCCAGCAGCCGCGGUAAUACGGAGGGUGCAAGCGUUAUCCGGAAUCAUUGGGUUUAAAGGGUCCGCAGGCGGAUUUAUAAGUCAGUGGUGAAAUCCUAUCGCUUAACGAUAGAACUGCCAUUGAUACUGUAAGUCUUGAAUUCGGUCGAAGUGGGCGGAAUGUGUAGUGUAGCGGUGAAAUGCAUAGAUAUUACACAGAACACCAAUAGCGAAGGCAGCUCACUAGGCCUGGAUUGACGCUCAGGGACGAAAGCGUGGGGAUCAAACAGGAUUAGAUACCCCUGUAGUC